rnacentral:tRNA from 3 species
GGUGCGGUAGCCAAGCGGUUAGGCAGUGGAUUGCAAAUCCAUCUAGAUCGGUUCGACUCCGAUCCGCACCUCCA